GGAUUGUGGCUCAGUGGCAGAGUGCUUGCCCAGCACAUGGGAGGCACUGGGUUAGAUUCCCAGCACCG
rnacentral:tRNA from 1 species